AGGAGCCCGCGGCCCAUUAGCUAGUUGGUGGGGUAACAGCCUACCAAGGCUACGAUGGGUAGCUGGUCUGAGAGGAUGGUCAGCCACACUGGGACUGAAAUACGGCCCAGACUCCUACGGGAGGCAGCAGUAGGGAAUUUUGGGCAAUGGGGGAAACCCUGACCCAGCAACGCCGCGUGAGUGAAGAAGGCUUUCGGGUCGUAAAGCUCUGUCAGGUGGGAAGAAUAAAGGCCGGGUAACGCCGGUCCUUGACCACCACCAAAGGAAGCACCGGCUAACUCCGUGCCAGCAGCCGCGGUAAUACGGAGGGUGCAAGCGUUGUCCGGAAUUAUUGGGCGUAAAGCGCGUGUAGGCGGCUUGGCAAGUCUGAUGUGAAAGCCCUCGGCUCAACCGGGGAAGUGCAUUGGAAACUGCCGGGCUUGAGUACGGGAGAGGGAGGUGGAGUUCCCAGUGUAGCGGUGAAAUGCGUAAAUAUUGGGAGGAACACCA
rnacentral:rRNA from 1 species